CCCAGACUCCUACGGGAGGCAGCAGUGGGGGAUAUUGCACAAUGGGGGGAACCCUGAUGCAGCGACGCCGCGUGGGUGAAGGAGCGUUUCGGCGCGUAAAGCCCUAUCGGCAGGGAAGAAGGAGGACGGUACCUGACUAAGAAGCCCCGGCUAACUACGUGCCAGCAGCCGCGGUAAUACGUAGGGGGCAAGCGUUAUCCGGAUUUACUGGGUGUAAAGGGAGCGUAGGCGGCAGUGCAAGUCAGAAGUGAAAGCCCGGGGCUCAACUCCGGGACUGCUUUUGAAACUGUACAGCUUGAUUGCAGGAGAGGCAAGUGGAAUUCCUAGUGUAGCGGUGAAAUGCGUAGAUAUUAGGAGGGACACCGGCGGCGAAGGCGGCCUGCUGGACCGUAACUGACGUUGAGGCUCGAAAGCGUGGGGAGCAAACAGGAUUAGAUACCCUAGUA
rnacentral:rRNA from 1 species